rnacentral:lncRNA from 1 species
GGACACAGAGACAUACAUAGAGGGAAGACGAUAUGAAGAGAUGGAGAAGAUGCCGCUCUACAAGGCAAGGAGGGAGGGCUGGAGCAGUCUCUCUCUCUCGCAGCCCUCAGAAGGAACUAACCCUGCUGACAUCUUGGUUUCAGACUCCUAGUCUCCAGAACUCCAAGGUGCAGAAGAGAAGGCAGGAGCUGAAGCAGCGAGCUUGGACCGUUGAGGCCAACUGGGUAACGCUCAGCAGAGAACCUGGUAGAAGGAGUCUGCCUCAAACACCCGUAGAGCAUCGUACCUGCCUUGAGCCACCUGCCUAAGAUUUGACCUGAGAGAGAAGUGACCCUCCACCUGCUGAAGCCACUGUCCGGGGCAUCUGCUCUCACUUGCAGCUGAACCUCACCCUCGUGACUACAUAUGAAGAAGUUGAGGCACGGAGGGAGCAAAUAGCCUGCGGACACAGUGUGGUGCAGGGAGAGGGGCGCUAACCAAGCAGGCUGACUGCGAGCCGCGUUCUGCACGCCAUCCGUGCCACAGCACAAGUAGGAACAUUAAACAAGGUGAGGCCUCGGUUCCGGAGUGGAGCGCCUCUGCCCCGCCGGUGGAGUCCCCUGAUCCAGUGAGGCUGGUUUGAAGCAGCCCUCUGCCCCUCGCCUUGCGUAACCAGCUCCAGAAGCACACUUUGUUCCUCCUGUGCGUUUUAUGGCCUGGCACAAAUGAAGAUCCUGGCUGGAAGAGCCAGCACGCCUCCAGCUCCAGCUCACCUGUGGACGCAGCCUUUCUCUCAAGUAUCCUGAAGCGCUUCAAGUUAACGAUGGUGCCUGCAUGCAGCGUUGGCUUGCUUGAAGAAGUUGCUUUGCAAUAAGAGGCGCAGUAUCAGUAGACGGUUUGAAACAGCCCAAGCUGGUUGGACGAGUGCCGCAGCAUUAGGGCAAAUAAUAGCUAACACUUGGGGAGUGCUGACAGCGAAAGUGCUUGGCAUAUAAACUCAGCGAAUUCGCACAGUGACUCUGUGGGUCGUAUGUUAUCUGCGUUUUACAGACACGGAAACUGAGGUGCAGUUACUUGUUACUUGAGACCAAACAGCCGAUGAGUGAGGCAGAGUGGAACCAAUCGUCCCGACCACUUGCCCGUGCGGCCUCUUGUGAACAGCGACAGACAAGAAGAGAGGCCGAUGGGAGAGGGACAGCUCCCCAGCAGUCAGGAGCUGCGGAGUGAGGCACAGAGACGCUAUCUAUUUUCACCCUUAACCGAAAAAAAUCCAGGACUUGUGAAGUCGCAGAGAAAUAGGCACUCUGCUGUGUACAGCGGGCUGCAGCCUGUCUGAAGCGCA